AUUGAACGCUGGCGGCAGGCUUAACACAUGCAAGUCGAGCGGAGAUGAGGUGCUUGCACCUUAUCUUAGCGGCGGACGGGUGAGUAAUGCUUAGGAAUCUGCCUAUUAGUGGGGGACAACAUUCCGAAAGGAAUGCUAAUACCGCAUACGUCCUACGGGAGAAAGCAGGGGAUCUUCGGACCUUGCGCUAAUAGAUGAGUCUAAGUCGGAUUAGCUAGUUGGUGGGGUAAAGGCCUACCAAGGCGACGAUCUGUAGCGGGUCUGAGAGGAUGAUCCGCCACACUGGGACUGAGACACGGCCCAUACUCCUACGGGAGGCAGCAGUGGGGAAUAUUGGACAAUGGGGGGAACCCUGAUCCAGCCAUGCCGCGUGUGUGAAGAAGGCCUUAUGGUUGUAAAGCACUCUAAGCGAGGAGGAGGCUACUGAGACUAAUACUCUUGGAUAGUGGACGUUACUCGCAGAAUAAGCACCGGCUAACUCUGUGCCAGCAGCCGCCGUAAUAC
rnacentral:rRNA from 1 species